GGCAGGAUGACACGCUGUUCUCAAGGGGCAAGACUGUGUGUGUGAGUAAGGGAUUGAUUUGCUUAUUUCUAGAGGGGAGGACUGCUUUCCGUUCUCACUGAUGGAGUAUUCAUUUACCUCCAGGUUGCCUUUUUUUGUGUGUGUGCGUAUCUGACUUGACUUGCUGACUAAACAUGUUAGGACUUCUGAGGCAAAGAGUUUUCUCUGCAGGGCCAUAGAAGGAACAGUGUUCUCCCCCCAGCACAUCUGCCUGGCGAAGGAGUCCGCACAGCAGUGGGGAAGCUGCUUCGCCAUCUCACCUCCAGCUGACAGAGCUGGAGUUUAUCAGCAUGUUGACAACCCUGGACUGCUGAGACUGCUCCAAAUUACACUGGAAACAUUGGUAAUGAGAAUUUAGCCUUUGGAGUGGUGUGUAUGUGUGUGCCUUUUUAGAUGCAGGUUU